rnacentral:sRNA from 1 species
AUAUACCAUGCGUACCCUCCGGUUCCUGCGCGCCGUCCACACCCACCAGACGGCUGCUGUUUCGUUGGCC